rnacentral:rRNA from 1 species
GAUGGGUAGGGGAGCGUCGUGUGCCGGGUGAAGCUGCGCCGGAAGGCAGUGGUGGACGGUUCACGAGUGAGAAUGCAGGCAUGAGUAGCGAUACAUACGUGAGAAACGUGUGCGCCGAUUGACUAAGGGUUCCUGGGUCAAGCUGAUCUGCCCAGGGUAAGUCGGGACCUAAGGCGAGGCCGACAGGCGUAGUCGAUGGAUAACCGGUUGAUAUUCCGGUACCCGCUGUGAAGCGUCAAACAUCGAAUCAGGCGAUGCUAAGUCCGUGAAGCCGUCCCGAUCUCUUCGGAGUUGAGGGAAGUGGUGGAGCCGACGGACCAGACUUGUAGUAGGUGAGUGAUGGGGUGACGCAGGAAGGUAGUCCAGCCCGGGCGGUGGUUGUCCCGGGGUAAGGGUGUAGCCCGUCAUCUAGGCAAAUCCGGAUGACAUGUGGGUGAGACCUGAUGCCGAGCCGAUUGUGGUGAAGUGGAUGAUCCUAUGCUGUCGAGAAAAGCCUCUAGCGAGUUUCAUGGCGGCCCGUACCCUAAACCGACUCAGGUGGUCAGGUAGAGAAUACCGAGGCGUUCGGGUGAACUAUGGUUAAGGAACUCGGCAAAAUGCCCCCGUAACUUCGGGAGAAGGGGGGCCAUCACUGGUGAUGAGUCUUGCACUCUGAGCUGGGGGUGGCCGCAGAGACCAGCGAGAAGCGACUGUUUACUAAAAACACAGGUCCGUGCGAAGCCGUAAGGCGAUGUAUACGGACUGACGCCUGCCCGGUGCUGGAACGUUAAGGGGACCGGUUAGUGCGCUUUCGGGCGUGCGAAGCUGAGAACUUAAGCGCCAGUAAACGGCGGUGGUAACUAUAACCAUCCUAAGGUAGCGAAAUUCCUUGUCGGGUAAGUUCCGACCUGCACGAAUGGCGUAACGACUUCUCGACUGUCUCAACCAUAGGCCCGGUGAAAUUGCACUACGAGUAAAGAUGCUCGUUUCGCGCAGAAGGACGGAAAGACCCCGGGACCUUUACUACAGUUUGAUAUUGGUGUUCGGUUCGGCUUGUGUAGGAUAGGUGGGAGACUGUGAAGCGGGCACGCCAGUGUUCGUGGAGUCGUCGUUGAAAUACCACUCUGGUCGUGCUGGAUGUCUAACCUCGGUCCGUGAUCCGGAUCAGGGACAGUGUCUGAUGGGUAGUUUAACUGGGGCGGUUGCCUCCCAAAGAGUAACGGAGGCGCCCAAAGGUUCCCUCAGCCUGGUUGGUAAUCAGGUGUUGAGUGUAAGUGCACAAGGGAGCUUGACUGUGAGACCGACGGGUCGAGCAGGGACGAAAGUCGGGACUAGUGAUCCGGCGGUGGCUUGUGGAAGCGCCGUCGCUCAACGGAUAAAAGGUACCCCGGGGAUAACAGGCUGAUCUUCCCCAAGAGUCCAUAUCGACGGGAUGGUUUGGCACCUCGAUGUCGGCUCGUCGCAUCCUGGGGCUGGAGUCGGUCCCAAGGGUUGGGCUGUUCGCCCAUUAAAGCGGUACGCGAGCUGGGUUUAGAACGUCGUGAGACAGUUCGGUCCCUAUCCUCUGUGCGCGUAGGAAUAUUGAGAAGGGCUGUCCCUAGUACGAGAGGACCGGGACGGACGAACCUCUGGUGUGCCAGUUGUCCUGCCAAGGGCAUGGCUGGUUGGCUACGUUCGGAAAGGAUAACCGCUGAAAGCAUCUAAGCGGGAAGCCUGCUUCGAGAUGAGUAUUCCCACCCCCUUUGAGGGGUUAAGGCUCCCAGUAGACGACUGGGUUGAUAGGCCAGAUCUGGAAGCCCGGUAACGGGUGGAGGUGACUGGUACUAAUAGGCCGAGGGCUUGUCCUCAGUUG